rnacentral:misc_RNA from 1 species
AGAAAUGCAGUAGCCGUGCAGACCAGCUCUACCAAACCAAAGUGUAGCACCCAUAGCCUGUUGAAGAGUGACAGUAUUUGUGCUUCAAGGUGCAUUGGCAUAGUUGGAAAUGAUCGUGAAGUACAUGCUCUCUGAUUUAUGUAGGGAAUAUAUUCUUUAAAUGCACACCAUUGAUAGCCCCUGCAGUAAGGGGUCGUUUACAAUUUAGGAAAAUAUAUUUAUUCAGCUAAGUUACUGCUGGAGAUAAAAGAUAGGUACUUUUCUCGUUUCAUGCUAACUGCUACUGCUUUUCAACACUUACAUUGCUUGCAUUCUCACAUUAAAAGUUAAAAUGCGAAAUGCAAGCUUCAGGUAGUAGGGUGUAAAAGUGUUCCUAGUUCUCACAUAUUGUAUCCUAUGAACUAAUCAUUGGUUUCAUAGAAUAGCAGUUCAGGUGCCUGAAACUGCAGUUCUGUAUUAUCGAAACUGCGGUUCUGUAUUAUCUAAACUGCAUUUGGAUGGCUUAAUUUUUGCUACGGG